rnacentral:rRNA from 1 species
UACGUAGGGGGCUAGCGUUGUCCGGAAUCAUUGGGCGUAAAGCGCGUGUAGGCGGCCCGGUAAGUCCGCUGUGAAAGUCGGGGCUCAACCCUCGAAUGCCGGUGGAUACUGUCGGGCUCGAGUGCGGAAGAGGCGAGUGGAAUUCCUGGUGUAGCGGUGAAAUGCGCAGAUAUCAGGAGGAACACCGAGUGCGAAGGCAGCUCGCUGGACGUUACUGACGCUGAGAACGCGAAAGCGUGGGAGCAACAGG